UGGGGUGACUGCGUACCUUUUGUAUAAUGGGUCAGCGACUUAUAUUCUGUAGCAAGGUUAACCGAAUAGGGGAGCCGGAGGGAAACCGAGUCUUAACCGGGCGUUAAGUUGCAGGGUAUAGACCCGAAACCCGGUGAUCUAGCCAUGGGCAGGUUGAAGGUUGGGUAACACUAACUGGAGGACCGAACCGACUAAUGUUGAAAAAUUAGCGGAUGACCUGUGGCUGGGGGUGAAAGGCCAAUCAAACCGGGAGAUAGCUGGUUCUCCCCGAAAGCUAUUUAGGUAGCGCCUCGUGAAUUCAUCUCCGGGGGUAGAGCACUGUUUCGGCUAGGGGGCCAUCCCGGCUUACCAACCCGAUGCAAACUGCGAAUACCGGAGAAUGUUAUCACGGGAGACACACGGCGGGUGCUAACGUCCGUCGUGAAGAGGGAAACAACCCAGACCGCCAGCUAAGGUCCCAAAGUCAUGGUUAAGUGGGAAACGAUGUGGGAAGGCCCAGACAGCCAGGAUGUUGGCUUAGAAGCAGCCAUCAUUUAAAGAAAGCGUAAUAGCUCACUGGUCGAGUCGGCCUGCGCGGAAGAUGUAACGGGGCUAAACCAUGCACCGAAGCUGCGGCAGCGACACUCAGGUGUUGUUGGGUAGGGGAGCGUUCUGUAAGCCUGUGAAGGUGGCCUGUGAGGGUUGCUGGAGGUAUCAGAAGUGCGAAUGCUGACAUAAGUAACGAUAAAGCGGGUGAAAAGCCCGCUCGCCGGAAGACCAAGGGUUCCUGUCCAACGUUAAUCGGGGCAGGGUGAGUCGACCCCUAAGGCGAGGCCGAAAGGCGUAGUCGAUGGGAAACGGGUUAAUAUUCCCGUACUUGGUGUUACUGCGAAGGGGGGACGGAGAAGGCUAUGUUGGCCGGGCGACGGUUGUCCCGGUUUAAGCGUGUAGGUGUGUGUUCCAGGUAAAUCCGGUUCACUUUAACACUGAGGCGUGACGACGAGGCACUACGGUGCUGAAGCAACAAAUGCCCUGCUUCCAGGAAAAGCCUCUAAGCAUCAGGUAACAUCAAAUCGUACCCCAAACCGACACAGGUGGUCAGGUAGAGAAUACCAAGGCGCUUGAGAGAACUCGGGUGAAGGAACUAGGCAAAAUGGUGCCGUAACUUCGGGAGAAGGCACGCUGACAUGUAGGUGAAGUGAUUUACUCAUGGAGCUGAAGUCAGUCGAAGAUACCAGCUGGCUGCAACUGUUUAUUAAAAACACAGCACUGUGCAAACACGAAAGUGGACGUAUACGGUGUGACGCCUGCCCGGUGCCGGAAGGUUAAUUGAUGGGGUCAGCGCAAGCGAAGCUCCUGAUCGAAGCCCCGGUAAACGGCGGCCGUAACUAUAACGGUCCUAAGGUAGCGAAAUUCCUUGUCGGGUAAGUUCCGACCUGCACGAAUGGCGUAAUGAUGGCCAGGCUGUCUCCACCCGAGACUCAGUGAAAUUGAACUCGCUGUGAAGAUGCAGUGUACCCGCGGCAAGACGGAAAGACCCCGUGAACCUUUACUAUAGCUUGACACUGAACAUUGAGCCUUGAUGUGUAGGAUAGGUGGGAGGCUUUGAAGUGUGGACGCCAGUCUGCAUGGAGCCGGCCUUGAAAUACCACCCUUUAAUGUUUGAUGUUCUAACGUGGACCCGUGAUCCGGGUUGCGGACAGUGUCUGGUGGGUAGUUUGACUGGGGCGGUCUCCUCCUAAAGAGUAACGGAGGAGCACGAAGGUUGGCUAAUCCUGGUCGGACAUCAGGAGGUUAGUGCAAUGGCAUAAGCCAGCUUGACUGCGAGCGUGACGGCGCGAGCAGGUGCGAAAGCAGGUCAUAGUGAUCCGGUGGUUCUGAAUGGAAGGGCCAUCGCUCAACGGAUAAAAGGUACUCCGGGGAUAACAGGCUGAUACCGCCCAAGAGUUCAUAUCGACGGCGGUGUUUGGCACCUCGAUGUCGGCUCAUCACAUCCUGGGGCUGAAGUAGGUCCCAAGGGUAUGGCUGUUCGCCAUUUAAAGUGGUACGCGAGCUGGGUUUAGAACGUCGUGAGACAGUUCGGUCCCUAUCUGCCGUGGGCGCUGGAGAACUGAGGGGGGCUGCUCCUAGUACGAGAGGACCGGAGUGGACGCAUCACUGGUGUUCGGGUUGUCAUGCCAAUGGCACUGCCCGGUAGCUAAAUGCGGAAGAGAUAAGUGCUGAAAGCAUCUAAGCACGAAACUUGCCCCGA
rnacentral:rRNA from 1 species